rnacentral:rRNA from 1 species
UACAGAGGGUGCGAGCGUUGUCCGGAAUCACUGGGCGUAAAGGGCGCGUAGGUGGCGGCCCAAGUCCAUGGUGAAAGCUCGAUGCUCAACAUCGAGUCGGCCACGGAUACUGGGUUGCUCGAGCACUGUAGGGGCAGAUGGAAUUCCGGGUGUAGCGGUGGAAUGCGUAGAGAUCCGGAAGAACACCGGUGGCGAAGGCGGUCUGCUGGG